ensembl:snRNA Gm26065 predicted gene, 26065
AUGCUUACUUCAGCAGCACAUAUACUAAAAUUGGAACGAUACAGAGAUUAGCAUGGCCCUUGCGAAAGGAUGAUACACAAAUUCAUGAAGUGUUCCAUAUUUUU